AUGUUGGUGAAAAUAAAAUUUUUCAACCAGGCAACUGAGGGGCGACUAUUGCUAGUUGAAAACUUUUCCCAAUACCCCGCCGGGACGUCGUGCAAUACCGACGGCCAUGGCAAUUUUUGGCAAGCCCCUCGGGGC